UAAAUACGGAAUUUCCAAUGGAUUUCGCAACUGUAUAUAUAUAUAUAUAUAUAUAAUGUGCUGUGUAUUUAUCUAUCUAUCUAUAUAUAUAUACAUAUUUAGGGAGUCGUUGAUCCGAUUUCAGACACUAUUACGCGUUACCCGCUUUCUCUAGAAAAUAUAAAGGAGUGUCAUUUUAUGGAUACAACAGUACCUGGAAGAAAUGCUCCUGAGGAAGUGACUCGUGAGUCGCUUAUCUCCAUUUCUUACGAGGAACCAGAAACAGUUCUCUCUUCAAACCAACCAUCUGAAAAGAUUAGUAGGGAAAACAUCAAUCUGGCCAACGGGAUAAACCACAAUCAGAUGGAAGGGAAAGAAUACGAUGGAGAUGAGAAAUUCAGAUCUGAGCUGAUUGCAAUUUCCUUCCUUGAGUCGCUACCUGAAACUGGAAGUGUACCUGUGGCCGAACUCAAGGGUUAGUAGUGCCUGGAUGUCAGUUAUAAUAGUAUACCUUAUGUAAAAUUGAUACGAAACUAAGUUCAUGUACGCGUUGUUUGGACUGUAGAGCAAUGUGGUCCGUGUUCCUUUGUUUUUGUAACAUAAACUCUUUGCACGGGUUGUUUGUUUGUCUGUACUAAUCUUGUGGAAACUCAUCGUUGUAUGAGCCCAAUGAAUGAACUUGCGAACCCCUUGGUAUACUCAGCAUUCUCUUCCUUUUA